GUCAACAGUUCUGAUUUUGAAAGGUGCUUGAUCUUGAUUUAUUUUGAACGAGUGGCGGACGGGUGAGUAACACGUGGGUAACCUGCCCUUAAGUGGGGGAUAACAUUUGGAAACAGAUGCUAAUACCGCAUAAAUCCAAGAACCGCAUGGUUCUUGGCUGAAAGAUGGCGUAAGCUAUCGCUUUUGGAUGGACCCGCGGCGUAUUAGCUAGUUGGUGAGGUAACGGCUCACCAAGGCAAUGAUACGUAGCCGAACUUGAGAGGUUGAUCGGCCACAUUGGGACUGAGACACGGCCCAAACUCCUACGGGAGGCAGCAGUAGGGAAUCUUCCACAAUGGACGCAAGUCUGAUGGAGCAACCGCCGCGUGAGUGGAAGAAGGCUUUCGGGUCGUAAAACUCUGUUGUUGGAAGAA
rnacentral:rRNA from 2 species